rnacentral:rRNA from 1 species
UACGUAGGGGGCAAGCGUUGUCCAGAAUCAUUGGGCGUAAAGCGCGUGUAGGCGGCUCGGUAAGUCCGCUCUGAAAGUCCAGGGCUCAACCCUGGGAUGCGGGUGGAUACUGCCGGGCUCGAGUCCGGAAGAGGCGAGUGGAAUUCCCGGUGUAGCGGUGAAAUGCGCAGAUAUCGGGAGGAACACCAAUGGCGAAGGCAGCUCGCUGGGACGUGACUGAC